GGAGGGAUGUCCGAGCGGCCGAAGGAGCACGCUUGGAAAGCGUGUAAGGGAUAACCUCCCUUCGAGGGUUCGAAUCCCUCUCCCUCCA
rnacentral:tRNA from 1 species